rnacentral:rRNA from 1 species
UACGUAGGGGGCGAGCGUUGUCCGAAUUUACUGGGCGUAAAGCGCGCGUAGGCGGCUUUGCAAGUCGGGUGUGAAAUCCCCAGGCUUAACCUGGGAACUGCAUUCGAGACUGCAUUGCUAGAGUAUGGGAGAGGGAAGUGGAAUUUCCGGUGUAGCGGUGAAAUGCGUAGAGAUCGGGAGGAACACCAGUGGCGAAGGCGGCUUGCUGGGCCGGACCUGACGCUGAGACGCGAAGGCGUGGGGAGCGAACGGG